rnacentral:misc_RNA from 1 species
AGGUGGCGGGGACUUGUACACGUAUGGUGGUGGUGGAGAAGGAGAAGGAGGUGGUGGGGAUUUGUACACAUACGGUGGUGGUGGAGAGGCAUAUAUGUAAGGGUCAGCAGAAACAAUAUCAACAAGAGCCAAAAUGGCCACUAAGAUAUGUGGCAAAUAAUGACGACCCCGGCCGGGGCCGCCAGCAAAAAGCCUCAUUACUAGCAGGGAUAAUGCACCAACCACCAGUUCCUCAAAUUUGGGGGAUGUACAACA